rnacentral:ncRNA from 1 species
AAAAGUUUAGUUUUGGCUAAAAAUUAUAUUUACCUUUAUAUUAUAUACAUUUAAUUAAAUAAUAAUUUGUAGUAAUAAAUAUUGAAAAUUAAAAUAAUUAGAUUUAGUAAAAGGUUUAAGAUUAGGCUAAAGGCGUGCCAGCUGCUGCGGUUAUACGCUUUAAUCAAUAUAAUUAAGUUAGAAUUUAGUUAAAAAUACGGUUUAAGAAUUUAAUAUAUUUAUAGGUGAAAUUAGAAUAAUAUAUUUUACAAUCUUAAAAGCUUAUAAACUAUAAUAGUUGACUAAAACUAGGAUUAGAUACCCUAUUAUUCAAUUUACUUAAAUAAUCUAGAGUAGUAUCAGAUAAAAUCUUGAAAUUCAAAAAACUUGGCGGUUUUUUAGCCUUAUUAGAGGAACCUGUAUCAUAAUCGAUAAUCCACGAUUGGAAUUACUAUAAAUUAGCUUAUAUACCGUUGUCAUAAGAUAAUUUUAUAAGAUUUUAUCUAGAAUUAUAAUUUUAAAAGAUGUCAGAUCAAGGUGUAGCUGUAUUAUAGAGAAUAUGGGUUACAAUAUCAUAAGAUACACGAAUUUUGUUUAUUAAGAAAUAAAUGAAGGAGGAUUUAAAAGUAAAUAAUUUAUGAAAUAUUGAGUAUAGCACUAGAAAAUGCACAUAUCGCCCGUCGCUCUUGUUUAAAAGUUAAGAUAAGUCGUAACAUAGUAGAUAUACUGGAAAGUAUCUCUAGAAAGUUU